UAUGUUAUCUCAUCUCUUUCGACAAUCUCUACUUCUAUCCAGAAAAUUCGACUGUAUAAUUUAGUGACCGGGCCAGGCCGUGCGGAUCGUUUUAUUUUUUUCAACUGGGAACUAGCAGUGGAAACCAGAAAUAAACAAAUAAAAUGACACUUUCGAUCAACAAAUGAAGUAUAAGCCACCCUUCGGUGGUUGAAUUCCGGGAUGAAAAGUAACUUAUUUGCGUCUUCAGGAUGAAUCACUCUGUCAAUAUUUUUAUCAAUAUUGAUUCAGCGUUUAAGCCGUGAAAACGUAAUAACAAAUAGACAGUUACAUACUUUCGCAUUUAUAAUGCUUGUGGAUGAUGAAUGGAUUCCUUACUGCCAAAUCCAAAAUAAUAUAAAUACAAAGUAACAAGGGCCCCAAAAUCGACCUAAAAUACGAGUAUAAACAAUAGCUGUUUAAUACGCACCGAAACGCAUUGAAAUGUGUUUGUAGCUCAAAU